rnacentral:rRNA from 1 species
CCUACGGGAGGCUGCAGUGGGGAAUAUUGCACAAUGGGCGCAAGCCUGAUGCAGCCAUGCCGCGUGUGUGAAGAAGGCCUUCGGGUUGUAAAGCACUUUCAGCGGGGAGGAAGGCGUUAAGGUUAAUAACCUUGGCGAUUGACGUUACCCGCAGAAGAAGCACCGGCUAACUCCGUGCCAGCAGCCGCGGUAAUACGGAGGGUGCAAGCGUUAAUCGGAAUUACUGGGCGUAAAGCGCACGCAGGCGGUCUGUCAAGUCGGAUGUGAAAUCCCCGGGCUCAACCUGGGAACUGCAUUCGAAACUGGCAGGCUAAAGUCUUGUAGAGGGGGGUAGAAUUCCAGGUGUAGCGGUGAAAUGCGUAGAGAUCUGGAGGAAUACCGGUGGCGAAGGCGGCCCCCUGGACAAAGACUGACGCUCAGGUGCGAAAGCGUGGGGAGCAAACAGGAUUAGAUACCCGUGUAGUC